rnacentral:lncRNA from 1 species
AGUUUGGGCAAGUUUGGAUACAAUAUUAAAGCUUGAUACGGUCUAAAUUUGGAUUGUGAUAAAAUUUUUGACAUAAUAUAGGUUUCUGACACAAAAUAAAUGUGGUCAAAGGUAUUAAAAAUCUAUUGUGCAAUACUGUGCAAUUGGAGAUUUCUUUUUGAGAUAUUUCGAAAAAUUUGCAAAAAAAUAAAAUAAAACACCACCCCCUCCCCUCUUGGAGUAAUUACUGGCCG